rnacentral:rRNA from 1 species
AUUGAACGCUGGCGGCAGGCCUAACACAUGCAAGUCGAGCGGAUGAAGGGAGCUUGCUCCUGGAUUCAGCGGCGGACGGGUGAGUAAUGCCUAGGAAUCUGCCUUGUAGUGGGGGAUAACGUCCUGAAACGGGCGCUAAUACCGCAUACGUCCUGAGGGAGCAAGUGGGGGAUCUUCGGACCUCACGCUAUCAGAUGAGCCUAGGUCGGAUUAGCUAGUUGGUGGGGUAAAGGCCUACCAAGGCGACGAUCCGUAACUGGUCUGAGAGGAUGAUCAGUCACACUGGAACUGAGACACGGUCCAGACUCCUACGGGAGGCAGCAGUGGGGAAUAUAGGACAAUGGGCGAAAGCCUGAUCCAGCCAUGCAGCGUGUGUGAAGAAGGUCUUCGGAUUGUAAAGCACUUUAAGUUGGGAGGAAGGGCAGUAAGUUAAUACCUUGCUGUUUUGACGUUACCAACAGAAUAAGCACCGGCUAACUUCGU